rnacentral:rRNA from 1 species
CCUACGGGUGGCAGCAGUGAGGAAUAUUGGUCAAUGGGCGCGAGCCUGAACCAGCCAAGUAGCGUGAAGGAUGACUGCCCUACGGGUUGUAAACUUCUUUUAUAAAGGAAUAAAGUGAGGCACGUGAGCCUUUUUUUAUGGACUUUAUGAAUAAGGAUCGGCUAACUACGUGCCAGCAGCCGCGGUAAUACGGUGGAUUCGAGCGUUAUCCGGAUUUAUUUGGUUUAAAGGGAGCGUAGAUGGGUUGUAAAGUCAGUUGUGAAAGUUUGCGGCACAACCGUAAAAUUGCAAUUGAUACUGGCAGUCUUGAGUACAGUUGAGGUAGGCGGAAUUCGUGGUGUAGCGGUGAAAUGCUUAGAUAUCACGAAGAACCCCGAUGGCGAAGGCAGCUUACUAAACUGUGACUGACAUUGAUGCUCGAAAGUGUGGGUAGCAAACAGGAUUAGAUACCCUUGUAGUC